CAGACCUGGGAAAUCCGAGAAGGAUACAGGAGGGGGUGGGUAGUCAGAAAAAAGGUCAAGCAAGGGUAGGGAGAGAAAUUUCAGUCAGAAAACCUUCUGUACAAUGCCAGCUUCCCGUUUCCCCCGUUCCUUUCUGAUUAUCCCUUUGGUUCUUUCCUGCACUGUUCUGCUCGUUCCACAGGGGAAUGACUGAGACUAAACAAUGAUCAGUUCAGCUGUCCAAUACAGGAUGCCCCUUCCCCUUCAGCAGUCUUUCUGCAGCAAGAGGAUAAAGCUCAACAUUAUCCCCAGGCAGUUAAUGAAUUAAACUCAGCAUUUUCAAUUGCCUCAUACAUCAGAGGCUUACUGCUCAUACAGAGAAGUAGCCAGGAGAGAACAGAACAGACCUGCUGUCCUUCUGCUGUUUUAUUAGCCAAGUUCUUGCCUGUCCCAAGUCAGCCACUACCAACUUCCUAACAAUAAAAUACCCAGGACCUCUAAGCCAUUUGUUUUCACUUAUUGUGAACUUUGGAAAUCUCUAACAAUAGUACAUUCAUUUAAUUUUUACUGCAUUUUUACAUUUCACAGUUUCCAACAAAACCACAAUGGCAUCAUCUUUGUGCUGUCAGAGUUUGUGAAGCACUAGGCAAUAAUACAACAGUAUAUUCAUUUAUCUACUUAAAGUGCCAAAAACCCUCCAGGGCAGCAGAAUAAUCAUCUCCUUCACCACAUUAAUAUGUCAGGAUCUCAAACAAUGAGUAUAACUGACAAGAUUUCAUCCUCUUUGCAGGACUACAGCACAGAGGGAACAACACAGCAGCACCAGGCACCAGCUCUGCCCUCCUGCUGUGGCUGAGAACAUUUCUCCUGCUGUAUUACAGCUCCAAGUAAUCCACCACAUUGGAGAUGAGCACAUAUUUUCUACUAUGAAACAGUCACUGACUGUAGUUCAUCUCAUCUUUUACAACAGGUCAGGGCAGCAAUCCCAGGAGCCAUAAGCAACACAAGAAAAAAACCACCAGCUCCAGUCAGUAAAGAUGAAGGCUAAAAAAGAACUGUAUUAUCAAGGAUUCCAGAGUACUAAGAUAUAUUUUGAUCAAGACUGCUGAAGAUGACAAUAAUUUGGAAAUACAGAGAUUUCCUGGUGGUCUACCCCUUCUUACUGACUUUUGCAACUGGAUCACACUCUUCCCCACAUGGCAACAUGUUUAUGAAACCAUACACUGAACAGAUACCUGUUUACAAAUCUAACCCAGCAAAAAUGAUCAAGUUUUAAAAAAAUCAGGUUCUGGUUCAUAGUAUGAUUGAAUUGAAGAUAUCUCUGCUCACUGAGGGGGUAGGACUAGGUGACCUUUGAUAGUCCCUUCCAACUCAAACUAUGCUAUGGUUCUAUAUAGUGCCAUAAAUUCUUGUACUAGCAAUAAGGAAGGGCAGCAGGAACAUAAAGAUCCAAUUACCUUUUAGGAAACUGGUACUGAUGGUUUUGCUAAAGGUGUGGUUUAGACUAUAGAACAGCCCUGAAAGUAACAAUUAAAUCUUUCCAUGAGGAAACAAAUCUAUAGUUCUACAAUCUAUCUCCUGAUCUGCAGCACCCUAACAUAAAUCCUGCGACUUGAAGUCAACCAAAUCUGGGUAGUUUUUUACUCCCAACCCUUUUUUUUUUUUUUUGCCAUUGCUAAUCAAAUUACUGAAGAUCACUAACAGAUGGAAUUUGUGCUCAAACAAGUGAAAUAUCCAACUGGACCUGUUGGUCACUGCAUGAAGCAAGUCCUAAAGAGGGUGAUACCAAGAGAGAAAGAGCUACUUGCCCGUCUGCUGUGGACCAAGGCUCCCUGUUCAUCCACAGGCUCCUCCUUCUCCCCUUCUUGUUUCUCCUCCUUCUCUGGCACCUGAGAUAGAAACCCAGAUUAAAUAACCCCGUACUGUUUCAAAGUUACCAAGAUUUCUAUGGUAAUUUAAGGCACUAAAUAAAGGUUUAAAAAAAGGUUUCCUGCAGUUUCUGUUCUGAAGAUUCCAAUGCUAUUGGAUCAGACUCCUGCAGCACUGAAUGAUAACAUAUAUAACAAGGGGACAAAGAUUUUACCUCAUUGUCACUGACUGCUGCAGGUCCCUCAGGAACUUCCUCAGUUUGCUGACUGCCGUUCUCAUCCGACGCAAUGCUCUGCUGCUCCAUUUCUAGCUCCUUUCUCCGGGCCUUUCUCCGGCGAGUUUCUGCCCCAAUCAGUGUGCCUAAAACAGGUGGAGGUAGGUGUUCUGCAGCAUUUGGGCUACGUUUCUGCACAGGGCAAUUCCGGUUCCCCUUGUGACACGCACAGUCCACUUUAUAAUUGCUGCUCCAAAACACAAACAUAAUUCGUGUCACUCUUCAUUUCUCAACCCCUGCACAGAGACAUUCAAUACAUCUCCUACUAAACAUCUCACCACGUGCCAAAGCAAGGACAGCAGGCUACCUUAUGGCCUCUAUUGUAGAAUAUGCCAGCAGAACUGGACAGAAUAGCCGGGAAAUGCAAUUCAGUAGAAAACGGAGCAAUAUGUAGAAUGCGAGGAAAGGGCUGGAGGAAGAUGUCCAGUCCAGGAGGGCAGUGGAGAGCUCCUGGGCGAGGUGAAGGACUCACCAGAUGUUGUACUCAUAGUCAAAGGCGAUGGUAACCUCUGUGUCCUUGGCAAUGGUGGCAACAGCAUAGAUGCACAGGUGGAUCAUCCCAUCAGCAAUCACAUGGCGAACCUUGUUAAACGAAGCAGAAAGAAGCUGACGUCUCCACAGGUUGCAUUUCCCACUUCCAAGACGGAAGUCUCCUUUUGCAAAGUAGCUCUUAUUCUACUCUAGGAAUAAUUAUCCCAAAUUCUCCAUAGGGAAAAGCCUGCUUCACUGCUCUUGUCUCAUACUGUGCUUUUCCACUCACAACUACUACCACCUGCUUACCCUCUGUACUAUUGUACCAUUAUGCAGCCAAAGGAAAGACAUAAAAGAAAUCUUUCUCUUCCAAAAAAACCUCCCUCAUGUUCCCAAACUGUCUCAUAUUCCAAGUAUAAACCAUCAAACAAGCAAGAGACACAGAGAAUUUACUGCAUUUAGUGCAUUUUAAGUUAGGGAAAGCACUAAGCUUAUGUAAAACAUGUAUUUGCAAUUACAGUGAUGAUGAAGAGAGAAUUUACCUCUGCGUUUGGGGUGCAGGACCGCCUGAUGAACCUGGCAUCAUUACCAAAGGUGCGGGCAUCAACACACAUCUCAACGCCAUUGAAC